AGAGUUUGAUCCUGGCUCAGGACGAACGCUGGCGGCGUGCCUAACACAUGCAAGUCGAGCGGGGAUCGCUUAGUGAAGUUUUCGGAUGGAUCUGGGUGAUUCUAGCGGCGGACGGGUGAGUAACGCGUGAGCAACCUGCCUAUCACAGGGGAAUAACGCAUCGAAAGGUGUGCUAAUACCGCAUGAGACCACAGGAUCGCAUGGUCAAGGGGUCAAAGAUUUAUCGGUGAUAGAUGGGCUCGCGUCUGAUUAGCUAGUUGGUGAGGUAACGGCCCACCAAGGCGACGAUCAGUAGCCGACCUGAGAGGGUGAUCGGCCACAUUGGAACUGAGAAACGGUCCAAACUCCUACGGGAGGCAGCAGUGGGGAAUAUUGGGCAAUGGGCGCAAGCCUGACCCAGCAACGCCGCGUGAAGGAAGAAGGUCUUCGGGUCGUAAACUUCUAUCCUUGGUGAAGAUAAUGACGGUAGCCAAGAAGGAAGCCCCGGCUAACUACGUGCCAGCAGCCGCGGUAAUACGUAGGGGGCAAGCGUUGUCCGGAAUGAUUGGGCGUAAAGGGCGCGUAGGCGGCUUGUUAAGUCUGAAGUGAAACCCCCGCUUUUAAGGUGGGACCUGCUUUGGAUACUGAUGAGCUUGAGUGCAGGAGAGGUAAGCGGAAUUCCCGGUGUAGCGGUGAAAUGCGUAGAGAUCGGGAGGAACACCAGUGGCGAAGGCGGCUUACUGGACUGUAACUGACGCUGAGGCGCGAAAGUGUGGGGAGCAAACAGGAUUAGAUACCCUGGUAGUCCACACUGUAAACGAUGAAUGCUAGGUGUAGGGGGUAUCGACCCCUUCUGUGCCGGAGUAAACACAAUAAGCAUUCCGCCUGGGGAGUACGGCCGCAAGGUUGAAACUCAAAGGAAUUGACGGGGGCCCGCACAAGCAGCGGAGCAUGUGGUUUAAUUCGAAGCAACGCGAAGAACCUUACCAGGUCUUGACAUCCAAUAAAACUUGUAGAGAUACAUCGUGGACUUCGGUCCGUAUUGAGACAGGUGGUGCAUGGUUGUCGUCAGCUCGUGUCGUGAGAUGUUGGGUUAAGUCCCGCAACGAGCGCAACCCUUUUCCUAAGUUGCUAACAGUAAGAUGAGAACUCUUAGGAUACUGCCAGUGCAAACUGGAGGAAGGUGGGGAUGAGGUCAAAUCAUCAUGCCCCUUACAUCUAGGGCUACAGGCGUGCUACAAUGGUCGAUACAAAGAGUUGCGACACAGUGAUGUGAAGCUAAUCUCGAAAGUCGAUCCCAGUCCGGAUUGGAGUCUGCAACUCGACUCCAUGAAGUUGGAAUCGCUAGUAAUCCCGAAUCAGAAUGUCGGGGUGAAUACGUUCCCGGGUGUUGCACUCACCGCCCGUCA
rnacentral:rRNA from 1 species